ACUGAGACACUGCCCGGACCUCCACGGAGGGCUGCAGUAACGGAUAUUGGGCAAUGGGCGAAAGCCUGACCCAGCAAUGCCGCGUGCAGGAUGAAGCCCCUAGGGGUGUAAACUGCUGUCAGGGGUCAGAAAGCUGGUUUCGGCCAGUUGAUCAACCCCAGAGGAAGUCACGGCUAACUUCGUGCCAGCAGCCGCGGUAAAUACGAAGGUGGCAAGCGUUAUUCGGAAUCAUUGGGCUUAAAGGGCACGCAGGCGGAACAGUGUGUGUUGUGUGAAAUCCCCCGGCUUAACCGGGGAAUUGCACAGCAAACUGCUGUUCUUGAGGCAGGUAGGGGUGCAUGGAACUCUUGGUGGAGCGGUGGAAUGCGUAGAUAUCAAGAGGAACGCCAGAGGUGAAGACGGUGCACUGGGCCUGUCCUGACGCUGAGGUGCGAAAGCGUGGGGAGCGAACGGGAUUAGAUACCCCGGUAGUCCACGCCGUAAACGAUGUCUACUAGGUCGUGGGUGUUCUGACACAUUCACGGCCGGAGCAAAAGUGUUUAGUAGACCGCCUGGGGAGUACGGCCGCAAGGUUAAAACUCAAAUGAAUUGACGGGGGCUCACACAAGCGGUGGAGCAUGUGGAUUAAUUCGAAGCAACGCGCAGAACCUUACCUGGGUUUGACAUGCUUGUAUGCCUUCUCUGAAAGGAGUUAGGUUGCCUUCGGGUGAAACUUGCACAGGUGCUGCACGGCUGUCGUCAGCUCGUGUCGUGAGAUGUCGGGUUAAGUCCUUUAACGAGCGAAACCCUUGCCGUUAGUUGCCAGCGAGUAAUGUCGGGGACUCUAACGGGACUGCCGGUGUUAAACCGGAGGAAGGUGGGGAUGACGUCAAGUCCUCAUGGCCUUUAUGCCCAGGGCUUCACACGUGCUACAAUGGCAAUUACAGAGCGACGCGAUACCGCGAGGUGGAGCAAAUCGCAAAAAAAUUGCCUCAGUUCGGAUUGCAGGCUGGCAAUUCGCCUGCAUGAAGUCGGAAUCGCUAGUAAUCGCGUAUCAGCAAUGACGCGGUGAAUGUGUUCCUGAGCCUUGUACACACCGCCCGUCAAGUGAUGGAGGCCNGGGAGUACCCGAAGUCGGGUUGCUAACCUUUGGGAGGCGCCUGCCGACGGUAAGUUCGGUGAC
rnacentral:rRNA from 1 species